AGAGUAAUAGUUCAGCGGUAGAGUGCAUGCUUAGCAUGCAUGAGGUCCUGGGUUCAAUCCCCAGCACCUCCA
rnacentral:tRNA from 1 species